AAUAAGAGUUAUUAUUAUUAUUUCAAUCAUUUUUUUGUGAAAUUUUAUUAGCUUUAGCUGACAUCGAUAUUAUAAAUAGUAAUAAUUCCAUACCUGGAAAUGAAAUGAUGUAACCCAAUUCCCGAAUCGUUUCUUUUGAAUUUCAAACAAACAAUUUCAAAAUAAGAAUUUGUAUUAUUUUACUGAUACCGUAUUCAAUUAAUUAUAUUUUGUUUUUUUUUCAGAG